CUGAUUUGAUUAGAGAAUUUGAGAAAAAAUGAAUCUUUUAAAUUUUUAUUCCAAUCAUUUUGAUGUCUUUUUUUUUUGUUGUAUUUUAAUUGCAGAGGAUGAGCAUGAUGUUGUUUGGUUUUGGCUAGAGAAAGAGAAGCCACAUGAAUGCCCAGUCUGCACACAUUAGUUUGUGUGUUUUGAAAGAACGAGAAGACACAUAAUAGAACCUGAAUGGGAAGAAGAAAGAAGAAAGCCAGCUUUUCAACCGAUAAGCUAAAAUAAAUCCCCUCGAUCUCCUCAUCGGCGGCGGCGGUGGCGACCACCAGUACGUUUGGAACCAAGCUGAAUUUGAUAUCAUUAAGCUAAAGACAAGAAUUAGUCCAUUUCCAUCUUAAAAAGCAGCAGAUGACAAUUAAACCACCAUGCAUCAGGUAACCUUCACGCUCAGAUUGCAUUCAAUGGCUAUCUAGACCAAAAGAACCUACAGUAGAUCAUUACUAACUCGGGGUAGAUUGAAAAGAGUUUAGGUCUGGCGGGCUUCUACAGUUUAGGGAAGAAUACCAAGAUUUACAUUUUGUUUAACUCCCUGAAUAAACAUGUGUAUUUUGUUAACAGUAUUGAAAACUAUUGUACAAAACAUUUUCCAGGGGAUUUUGUUGAUUAUGUAACUGUGAAUU